GACGAACCGAGCGAACGUUGUUCGGAAUCACUGGGCUUAAAGGGCGCGUAGGCGGGUUGUCAAGUCUGGGGUGAAAUCCCGCGGCUCAACCGCGGAACUGCCUCAGAUACUGACGGUCUCGAGGGGGGUAGGGGCGAGCGGAACUGAUGGUGGAGCGGUGAAAUGCGUUGAUAUCAUCAGGAACUCCGGUGGCGAAGGCGGCUCGCUGGACCCCUUCUGACGCUGAGGCGCGAAAGCCAGGGGAGCAAACGGG
rnacentral:rRNA from 1 species